AUGCCCCCACAGCAGGCCUGGACACCAACGGACUGCCAUUAUCUGCAUAAUUUAACAAGAAAGCCCCAAGACUGGAGAACAUGUAUCAUCCCAAAAACGUCCACUUUCAGGUCAUGGUAUGUGCUUUUGCUGUGAAAUCUUUACAGAUUUUAUAAAGUAAAUGUGAGUAUAUCUUAGUACUAUUUUAAGAUGAACACUUUUUGGACUGAAGCAACUUUUAUUUGACUAUCCAUACAUCAUUUUUUUUUUUUUUUUUUUUUAGAAAAUUCUUUGCAUUUCAGGACCAAGAUGAAGGAGAAGUGUAGCACAGUAGUCAGGCUUCUCACUGGCCUGCUUCUCCCCAAGAGACUCCAGACAAGCAACACUUUAACCUCCUGGUAUUUUCACUUCUUCUGACGCUGAACUCUUCAGUGACAGCACAUCAUCGAUGAUGUGAUGAUACAUGAGCGUCCGUCUCUGCGUUAACACCUCACGAUUAUUGCUUCAUAUAAAUGCACACAUAUACUAAAGAUCUCCCCUAAAAGAGACAAGAGGUGGAUGUAUGCAACAUGUUGAAUACUGUACCUGUCAAAACUCUGAAAUUAUUACAAUCACACACUGAAGUAAAGCGGAAAGCCUGUCAGAUGGAGCUGUCUCCUUCUCUGCAUAUAUGACCAUAGCUAAUGAGCAAAUGAGCCAUACACACAAAACUUGUUCUGUGCAAAGUGGUGAGGAGACCAUCAUCAUGGACAAACCUGAAAUUCACUCCAAACUUUAGUCAGAAUUUGAUGUGCCCUCAAACUGCUUGUGUUGAUUUCAGCCUCUACGCUAUAUGCAAUAUAAUCUCUCUCUCUCUCUCUCUCUCUCUCUCUCUCUCUCUCUCUCUCUCUUUAAAAUAACUUUAAAAUAAUAAGAAACUAAAAAAAUUCUGAAAAAAAACAACCAAAAAAAAAAACAAUUAAAAUUAGAAAUUAGUUGUAAUAAAAGUCCUAAAAUUAUUACAACUAAAAGCAAUGAACAGCAUCUUAAAUAUGACAUGAACCAUAUCUAAAAAAAUAAAAAAUAAAAAAUGUGAUACUAAACAUUGUGGCACAUGAAUUCAGUAAAACAGAUGCACUAAAGGAUCAAAUUAGAAAUAAAGAGUGAAAAGGCUGGGCAUCCAUGCAUAGAUAUUGGGAAAUUAUUCUCUUUUAUUUGAAGUACUGUUGAGAGAUAGUACUGUGUUGAGGACGGCCUGAUGUCUUUCAUUAAAAUGCUAAACAGGUGCAAAGGUGGAGUAGGAAGACAGCGUGUUUGAUCCAUGCGCCCUUGCUGUUUCAUCUCGACCAGAAUGGGACUUUAUAAAGAACAAGAUCUG
ensembl:lncRNA